UUUCACUUAAUAAAACUCUCUGGAUUCCAGAGCCUUCUCUGAAACGCUCCUCCUUCUCUCUAGUUUCUCUCUCUACAUUCUUCAUGAUUUUUCGGUUUAAUCUGAAUGUUAACAUGGUAUCAGAGCCUAGAUGACGAUUCGACUACUUUUCUCUACAUCUCGUUGUCUUGGUUGAACUCUUUUUGAGAUUUUUUGGGGAUUUUUCUGAGACCUUAUGGUCAAUGAUGCUUCUGACCUAGAUCGGAUGCUUUUCCGAGUUUUUCAUCAUGAUAUCUGAGUGUAUUUUCUUCACCCGAACAUUCUGAGAGUUUUUCUACUGAUUUCGGGUGGUUUCUCGUUGACCUAUCAGCUUCUAGGGUUUCUGGUGGUUUAACCUAGGGUUGUACUGCUUUCCGAUGGCUCGAUUCUCACUCAGUGGACGUUUUGGGUGCCUCUCCGACAUUACUGACCAUAUUUCCA
rnacentral:lncRNA from 1 species